rnacentral:rRNA from 1 species
GACGAACGCUGGCGGCGUGCUUAACACAUGCAAGUCGAACGGAAAGGCCCCUUUGGGGGGCAUCCGGGUGGGGAACGGGUGGGAACAAGGGGAGUAACCUGCCCUUACCUUGGGAAAAACUUCCGAAAACUGGGGACAAUCCGGGUUGGAAAUCUUUCCUGCUGGGGGGGGGUUGGAAGCCUUCGGGGGUUUUGGAUGGACUGGCGGCUUAGCAGCUUGUUGGUGGGGAAGUGGCUUACCAAGGUUUUGACGGGUAGCCGGCCUGAGAGGGGGACCGGCCACAUUGGGACUGAGAUACGGCCCAGACUCCUACGGGAGGCAGCAGUGGGGAAUAGUGCACAAGGGGCGGAAGCCUGAUGCAGCAACGCCGCGUGCGGGAUGACGGCCUUCGGGUUGGAAACCGCUUGCAGCAGGGGCGAAGCUUGUGGUGACGGUACCUGCAGAAGAAGCACCGGCUAACUACGUG